AUCUUCAAAGAGCUCAAUCGGUAGAGCGUGUGGCUCUUAACUCUAAGAGAUAACCUCAAGGUCGUGGGUUCGAGCCCCACCUCGGGCUC